AAACCCUUCCCCAAUCACCACAACAGCCGCGAAAGCCGCCGCACCUCUCCUUCCUCCCUCCUUCCUCCUCGUCGUCAGAGCCGCCGCACCUCUCCUUCCUCCCUCCUUCCUCCUCGUCGUCAGAGCCGCCGCACCUCUCCUUCCUCCUCUCCACACCCCUGCCACAGCGCACAUCCCUCCGAUCAUCAAGCCCAACUCCCCUUCCCAUUUCUCCUCCUCCCAGAACCACAUCCCGUCGCUUAGGCUCCAUGGUGGCGGCCUGCUCGAGGUGAGCCUGGUGCAGGCGGGCAGAAGCAGUGGGGCGGCGGAUGCCGGUGGGAGAGUGCUGGACAGGUCCGUCAUUGUCUCCCCACUAAGACGCAUGGAAGAAGGACCAGGAUCUCACCCUCAUCCCUUCUGGAUGCACCUCCCCACGUGAGUUCCUCCUACCUAAUUCAGCUCCCAUUUACAUAUAAUUUCAUUCUUGUUUCACAUGUUGGUUUGGUUGGAAAGAGAUGUUGCGCCACCGACUGCAGUAGCCAGGGUUGGCGUUGGUGAUGUCUAUAGGUUAUGGGAUCGGAUCUCCAUUUUCAAGAUUCUUAGCUGACAAGUAUAUUGUGCGGAAAAAUCUCUGCUGAAUGAUGUUGUGCACAUCCAAAUCCAAGCAAUGCUUUUCUUCUUGGACUGGCUGCUUGACUGGAACACUAGGGCUCGUUGCUUCAUCAAUUUCAUCCACGGAACAUUCGCUUAGGAUAUCAUCCUUAUCACUAUCUACAUUAGAUGCAGACACCCCGAGGAUCAACCUCUGGAAGUUACUGAGCUUCUCGACAUGAUCGGGGUGGAUGGUCAAUGGAAGCGAUAUGAAAUGGAAGACCAUGAUAACACUAAGAUUAUCAGGAAAGGAUUCAGAGCUUUUUCUUAAUCCAGAUUACCACACAUGAUGCAAAAUUAACAACCACGAGUUUGAAAUACGGAUAAUGGUGCUUAUUAUGUGCUAGAAAUCAAAUAUGAAAAGGAGAAGAUAAUGUUUGCGAAGGAGAGGGGAGAGACAUACAGGUUGAUUCUGGGUAAACUUUGCUUAAUUUGUUGGAGAAAAUGCUCGAUAGAUCUCAUGGAUGGACGAGGUUGUGGCACUAGUUCUCGGCUGCAAUAUCUAUCUUGAUCGAUAAGGGCACAUUAGAAGCGGAAGAAGAGGAAACAUUUGGGGUGUGUAUGGCAUUGAACAUUGAGUGCUUCUGUAUUGUGUACAUGCACGACCAGUUCAGUAACUAGAUGGCCUUUUCAACUGUACUGGUGCUGCUAGUUUUCACAUGCUAGCUUCUUUGAAAAGUGCCAACAGUGUGUACAAAAUUUUAAGUCCAUGUUGAAAGAACAGAAGUAGAAGCAGAGUUGAUGUAUUAAAGGCCAGUCAGGGAAUUCAGUCUCGAUGAGCUUAACUAAUGAUGUGUGAGUUGAGCCUUA